UACAGAGGGGGCAAGCGUUAUUCGGAAUUAUUGGGCGUAAAGGGCGCGUAGGCGGCUUUGCAAGUGAGGGGUGAAAUCCCUCGGCUUAACCGAGGAACUGCCUGUCAGACUGCAUGGCUUGAGACCAGGAGAGGUGAGUGGAAUUCCCAGUGUAGCGGUGAAAUGCGUAGAUAUUGGGAGGAACACCAGUGGCGAAGGCGGCUCACUGGACUGGUACUGACGCUGAGGCGCGAAAGCGUGGGGAGCAAACAGG
rnacentral:rRNA from 1 species